rnacentral:ncRNA from 2 species
UCGAGUCCACAGGGGUGCUUUAUAGCUGAGAGAACGAAAGUUUAACCCUUAUUACCUGAUCUGGUUAGUACCAGCGUAGGAAGUUGUAAUGAUAAAAUU